rnacentral:rRNA from 1 species
CGGAGGGUGCGAGCGUUGUCCGGAAUCACUGGGCGUAAAGGGCGCGUAGGUGGCCGAGCAAGGUCGCGGUGAAAGCCCGGGGCUCAACCCCGGGUCGGCCGUGGCAACUACUGGGCUGGAGCACUGUAGGGGCGGGUGGAAUUCCGGGUGUAGCGGUGGAAUGCGUAGAGAUCCGGAAGAACACCGGUGGCGAAGGCGGCCCGCUGGGCAGUUGCUGACACUGAGGCGCGACAGCGUGGGGAGCAAAACAGGAUUAGAUACCCUGGUAGUCCACGCCGUAAACGAUGGGCACUAGAUGCUUGGGGGAGCGACCCUCCGAGUGUCGGCGCUAACGCAUUAAGUGCCCCGCCUGGGGAGUACGGCCGCAAGGCUG